rnacentral:rRNA from 1 species
CCCUUAGAUGUCCUGGGCUGCACGCGCGCUACACUGAUGUGUCCAGUAAGUACCUAACCUAUUCCGAGAGGAGCGGGUAACCUUAGCAAAGCACAUCGUGAUGGGGAUAGAUUAUUGCAAUUAUUAGUCUUGAACGAGGAAUUCCUAGUAAGCACAAGUCAUCAGCUUGUGUUGAUUACGUCCCUGCCCUUUGUACACACCGCCCGUCGCUCCUACCGAUUGAAUGUUCCGGUGAGCUCUUCGGACUGCGCGGUCUGCAGUUUCUGCGUUCCGUGCGGAAAGUUGUGCAAACCUUAACAUUUAGAGGAAGGAGAAGUCGUAACA